rnacentral:snoRNA from 1 species
ACCCUCUCAGCGUCAGACCUGGAGAGUUUCCACUAUUCUACCAGUCUUGGCUACGGGAGGGAGAGUCAAGCAGAGGCCUAACCAUUCCAUUCCUAGCUUGGCCAGUGGCUUGCGAGUGGAAGGCAAUCUGCUACAAGU